AAAAAACCGCCAUCUGCUACCUUAAGACAUUUGUCAAUUUUUGUCUGCAUCUCGUAAGAUAUCGGAAGCCGUCUGACUUGGCCACAUCGCUCGGAAGUCCGAAGUACUAGAAAAAACCGCCAUCUGCUACCUAAAAGAACUCAGAUGGAUGAAAUUUUCUGAACAAUGCAAAUACCAUACUGGAGAAAUGAUAUAUAAAACUACAAAAAAUCUUG
rnacentral:lncRNA from 1 species